UAAAAAAAUUCAAGUUCUUAGACCACAUUCUUUCUGUGUCAGAAACCUAUGCUGUGUCAAAUAUUUAAUAACAAUCCAAAUUCAGAGCUGUAUCAAGCUUGAAUGUUGUGUCCAUACUUGCCCCAACUGUUCAGGGUUCGACCUCUGCGGUCGUAUCAAGCUGCGCCCCAGCGAAGCAUUUUAUUUUCACUCAUAUAAUCAGUUUUCCAAACUGUUUUUAGUCAUGCUUGAAGAUAUUGACAUGAUAUUUACUUUUUGUUUACACCAUGACAAGUUAUAGAAAAAGUUAACAUUUUGUUCCAGUAAAAUGAAUUUUUACCUGGUAGGUGACUAUGUAUUGCCAUGCAAUACUCUCAGAAUGCUUGUUUAGAAAUGUAUAUAGCUGCUUUUAAGACUAUCAUAUAUUAAAAAAAGGAUACAACAUGUUGUAUAGCUAUUUUUUAUACGACCGCAACGGUCGUAUAUUGGUAUGACGUUGGCGUCGUCGUCGUCCGAAGACACAUUGGUUUUCGCACUCUAACUUUAGUUUAAGUGAAUGGAUCUCUAUGAAAUUUUACCAUAAGGUUCAAUACCACAAAAGGAAGGUGGGGAUUGAUUUUGGGGGUUAUGGUACCAACAGUUAAGGAAUUAGGGGCCAAAAAGGGGCCAAAAAUAAGCAUUUUUUUGUUUCCAGACAAUAACUGUGGAACAGUGUAUGGAUCUCUCUGAAAUUAUACUACAAGUUUCCAUACCACAAAGGGAUGGUUAGGAUUUGGUUUGGGGGGUUAUGGCUCAAACCGUUUAAGAAUUAGGGGCAAAAAAGGGGGAAAAACAAGGUUGUCCUGGUUAAUGGACAAAUACUUUAGUACAAAACAUAAUUUAAAGCAGUGUAAGGGAGAUAAAUCAAAUACAUCAUUGAAAUUAUCUCCCUUACACUGCUAUUAAAUUAUGUAUAAAGUAAUGGUUAAUGAACAAUUAAGAUAAUUUAAAACAGUGUAAGGGAGGUAAUCCAAAUACAACGUUUUGGUUACUUCCCUUACACUGCUUUUAAAUUAUGUUUAAAGAAAUGCAGAUUUAUAAAGGAAGACCAGUAAAAAUAUCUGCAAAUGUUGCAUCUUUUUUUUUUACAAAAAAAUCCAUAUGAAAGAUUUGACACUAUAUUUUAAAUUCUAUUAUAAAAUAGAUUAAGUUAGCACUAUGGUAAAUUUAAAUGGGUAAUUAUGGCUGCAAAUUCCAUUGGAAAUUUGAAUUGAGAUUAUGACCAUAUCUUGAGGGAAAGAAUUUUUUAGGGGAAAGGGGGGGGGGGGGGGGGGGGGUAAAAAGAAA